CAGUGUGUGGUGAAGUGGCUUAACACGGACGACUGUGGAUCGUUCAUUCGCAGGUUCGAAUCCUGUCAUGCUGAUAA
rnacentral:tRNA from 1 species